rnacentral:rRNA from 1 species
UGCGCAGGUUGUUCUGUAAGUUGGAGGUGAAAUCCCCGGGCUCAACCUGGGAACUGCCUUCAAGACUGCAGAACUGGAGUGUGGCAGAGGGAACUGGAAUUCCACGUGUAGCAGUGAAAUGCGUAGAUAUGUGGAGGAACACCGAUGGCGAAGGCAGGUUCCUGGGCCAACACUGACACUCAUGCACGAAAGCGUGGGGAGCAAACA